rnacentral:rRNA from 1 species
AUGAACGCUGACAGAAUGCUUAACACAUGCAAGUCUUUGGCGAAGCUGUGCUCGCACAGCCUAGCCAAGGCGGACGGGUGAGUAACGCGUAAGGAACUUGCCCUGCAGUCAGGGAUAACAGACGGAAACGACUGAUAAGACCUGGUAAAGUCAGGCGGACUCAUGUCCAGCCUGAUGAAAAGAGAUGCUGCAGGAGAGCCUUGCGUCCUAUUAGCUUGUUGGUGGGGUAACGGCCCACCAAGGCGAUGAUAGGUAGCCGGCCUGAGAGGGUGGACGGCCACAAGGGGACUGAGAUACGGCCCUUACUCCUACGGGAGGCAGCAGUGGGGAAUAUUGGACAAUGGGGGCAACCCUGAUCCAGCAAUUCUGUGUGCACGAUGAAGGUUUUCGGAUUGUAAAGUGCUUUCAGCAGGGAAGAAAAAAAUGACGGUACCUGCAGAAGAAGCGACGGCUAAAUACGUG